rnacentral:rRNA from 1 species
UCUCAGUUCGGAUCGGAGUCUGCAACUCGACUCCGUGAAGCUGGAUUCGCUAGUAAUCGCGCAUCAGCCAUGGCGCGGUGAAUACGUUCCCGGGCCUUGUACACACCGCCCGUCAAGCCAUGGGAGCCGGGGGUACCUGAAGUCCGUAACCGCGAGGAUCGGCCUAGGGUAAAACUGGUGACUGGGGCUAAGUCGUAACAAGGUAAC